AUUGAACGCUGGCGGCAGGCCUAACACAUGCAAGUCGAGCGGAUGAAGGGAGCUUGCUCCUGGAUUCAGCGGCGGACGGGUGAGUAAUGCCUAGGAAUCUGCCUGGUAGUGGGGGAUAACGUCCGGAAACGGGCGCUAAUACCGCAUACGUCCUGAGGGAGAAAGUGGGGGAUCUUCGGACCUCACGCUAUCAGAUGAGCCUAGGUCGGAUUAGCUAGUUGGUGGGGUAAAGGCCUACCAAGGCGACGAUCCGUAACUGGUCUGAGAGGAUGAUCAGUCACACUGGAACUGAGACACGGUCCAGACUCCUACGGGAGGCAGCAGUGGGGAAUAUUGGACAAUGGGCGGAAGCCUGAUCCAGCCAUGCCGCGUGUGUGAAGAAGGUCUUCGGAUUGUAAAGCACUUUAGGUUGGGAGGAAGGGCAGUAAGUUAAUACCUUGCUGUUUUGACGUUACCAACAGAAUAAGCACCGGCUAACUUCGUG
rnacentral:rRNA from 1 species